rnacentral:rRNA from 1 species
GCCUUAUCAUACCCCUAUAAGGUGAGACCUGCUCAAUGGCCAAAAAUAAAAAAUAAUACUGGUUAAAUAGCCGCGGUAACUCUGACCGUGAUAAAGUAGCAUAAUCACUCGUCAUUUAAUUGGUGACUGGAAUGAAUGGUUACACGAAUCUCCAACUGUCUCUAUAAUAAAGUUAAUGAAAUUGAAAUAGUAGUGAAGAUGCUACUUAUUAAUUGUAAGACGAAAAGACCCUAUCGAGCUUUACUAAAUACCUAGAACAAAAAACAUACACAACAUUACAUCUUUAAUUUUUUUAGGUUAAUUAGUUUGGUUGGGGCGACCUCCCCUAAAAUAGUAUCAGGGGAAAUCUAAAGGUUAAUAAUAUAUAAAAAGCCUUACUGUACACAUACAUGUUAACCAGUUACUAAUAAGUAGGAUAUAGUGACCCGUUAAAUAUCUCCUAAAGUUUAACGACUAUGGAAAAAGUUACCGUAGGGAUAACAGGGUAAUAUUUUCAAAGAGUUCAUAUCGAUGAAAAUGUUUGCCACCUCGAUGUUGAAUUGUGAUAUCCUAAAGGUGCAGCAGCUUUUAAGGGUUG